GAACGCUAGCGACAGGCCUAACACAUGCAAGUCGAGGGGCAGCAUAAAGGUAGCAAUACUUUGGUGGCGACCGGCGCACGGGUGAGUAACACGUAUGCAACCUACCUGUAAGAGGGGAAUAACCCGGAGAAAUUCGGACUAAUACCGCAUAAUACCACUGAACUGCAUGGUUUAGUGGUUAAACAUUUAUGGCUUACAGAUGGGCAUGCGUAUGAUUAGCUAGUUGGUGAGGUAACGGCUCACCAAGGCAACGAUCAUUAGGGGUUCUGAGAGGAAGGUCCCCCACACUGGUACUGAGACACGGACCAGACUCCUACGGGAGGCAGCAGUAAUAUUGGUCAAUGGGCGAGAGCCUGAACCAGCCAAGUCGCGUGAAGGAAGAAGGUUCUAUGGAUUGUAAACUUCUUUUGUAAGGGAAUAAAAAAGAGUACGUGUACUCUAUUGUAUGUACUUUACGAAUAAGGAUCGGCUAACUCCGUGCCAGCAGCCGCGGUAAUACGGAGGAUCCGAGCGUUAUCCGGAUUUAUUGGGUUUAAAGGGUGCGUAGGCGGACCCUUAAGUCAGUGGUGAAAGUUUGCGGCUCAACCGUAAAAUUGCCAUUGAAACUGAGGGUCUUGAGUGUAAAUGAGGUAGGCGGAAUGUGUUGUGUAGCGGUGAAAUGCUUAGAUAUAACACAGAACACCAAUUGCGAAGGCAGCUUACUGGGAUACAACUGACGCUGAGGCACGAAAGCGUGGGGAUCAAACAGGAUUAGAUACCCUGGUAGUCCACGCAGUAAACGAUGAAUACUAGCUGUAUGCGAUAUACUGUAUGUGGCAAAGCGAAAGCGUUAAGUAUUCCACCUGGGGAGUACGUUCGCAAGAAUGAAACUCAAAGGAAUUGACGGGGGCCCGCACAAGCGGAGGAACAUGUGGUUUAAUUCGAUGAUACGCGAGGAACCUUACCCGGGCUUGAAAUGCAUCUGACCGACUUGGAAACAGGUCUUCUAGCAAUAGCAGAUGUGUAGGUGCUGCAUGGUUGUCGUCAGCUCGUGCCGUGAGGUGUCGGCUUAAGUGCCAUAACGAGCGCAACCCCUAUUGAUAGUUACUAACAGGUUAAGCUGAGGACUCUAUUGAGACUGCCACCGUAAGGUGUGAGGAAGGUGGGGAUGACGUCAAAUCAGCACGGCCCUUACGUCCGGGGCGACACACGUGUUACAAUGGGGGGUACAGAGGGUUGCUACUUGGUGACAAGAUGCUAAUCUCUUAAAGCCUCUCUCAGUUCGGAUCGGAGUCUGCAACUCGACUCCGUGAAGCUGGAUUCGCUAGUAAUCGCGCAUCAGCCAUGGCGCGGUGAAUACGUUCCCGGGCCUUGUACACACCGCCCGUCAAGCCAUGGAAGCUGGGGGGACCUGAAGUACGUAACCGCAAGGAGCGUCCUAGGGUAAAACUAGUAACUGGGGCUAAGUCGUAACA
rnacentral:rRNA from 1 species